GGAUCUCUCUCUCUCUCUCUCUCUCAACAUUUUGCUGGAAAGCCCAUGCGUCUCUGGCGACGCACCAUCUUGUCUCCGCCGGCUUCCAAUUGUUCAAUUGCGCGUCUUCACCGGCACACCGUGGAAUAUGCUUUGGGAGACCAGAUCGGCGUCGAUGGCGGUCUUGCAGGACACGUCGUACAUGGAGGUCGGGACGAUGGUGGGAGCGGUGGAUCUGUGAUUCAGCUCCUCCAUGAAUAUCGAGAUCUUCAAGCUCGAGUUACAGUCAGACGAUCGUGAUCUUCAUGUAGUGGGCGAGUCGACGAGCUCUGAGAGAUUCAACAGGUUAUCGUGGUUCAAGCUCGCUGCUAGAUCAGGCUCUCAAGACUUUAGCCUUGGGCUUGUCACCGGUGCACUUGUCAAUGAGACUAUUGAUAUUUUGAAUCCACUUACUCUAAUCCGAAUUCUUCCCUUUUGCACUUGUAGUAAUAGACUUUGAAAAUCAUUUGAAUUUGGAUAUUGAAGCCUCCAUUGACCAAAAGAUCAUUCAGCUAACCAAGAAAUGUGGAAAUGAAGUCUCGUGCUGAAGGUGACAAAAUUAUGCCUAUGGGAUUAGGGCGUCACUAUAUAUUGAAAAAUGAUAGUAGCAUUACAACAUUGACAAUAGCUUUAUACAACUAUUGUAAUAGAUUUUCACAACUAUGGGAGCAGCUUUUUACAUUGUUAUAUCAUUGUUGAACCCUGCAUACGUUUUGUAUUAUUGAAUAUGAUAUCUUUUCUCGAUUGU